UCGCAAGUCAUCAGGAUGGCUGUCGUGCCAGCAUUUGAGAGAAUCGUGUCGGAAGCAACCCGGCCACUUCUGCGACACUUCAGGUACCCUGAUACGCUGAGACCCCACUCCGCAAACUCCAUCGUAAUCAACUCACAGCACCGCCUGGCCUGCGACUGCCUGCGACCCCGUCCCGACGUACCGGCGGAGUUCUGCACCUGCGUGAUCACUGCGGCCUCUGACGCUGACACGGCACCACCGUCAACUUCUCAGGGACCCAGCAGGCAAAGAACGUGACACAUUGCCCAUUGGCAGAGCUGAUUUAUCCUUCUACGCAACGUCGGCUAGGUCCUUCUGAACUCAUCAAAUCUCAGUUUGUACAUUUCUGAUCAACAGGGUACACAUUUUGGAAGAAUCGACUCAGAUAUUUCGUUUCCGGUAAAAUGCCCGCCCAGUGCGCCAUUUGCAGUCAAGUGUGCUUCUCGCCUUCAGCGCUAAGGUUGCAUUUAAGGGUCGACUGCGGGGAGCAGCCUUUAGAGUGCACGGUCUGCAGGAAGAUGAUCAGGAAUAGAAGAGACCUCCAAAGGCACCUCCUCACUCACAUCGCAGAGAAGCGUUUUGAGUGCACGGUCUGCAUGAAGAAGUUCAGUCAGGGAAGCCAUCUCAAAAGGCACCUCGUCACCCACACUGGUGAGA
rnacentral:misc_RNA from 1 species